rnacentral:rRNA from 1 species
AACGAACGCUGGCGGCAGGCCUAAUACAUGCAAGUCGAACGCACCGCAAGGUGAGUGGCAGACGGGUGAGUAACGCGUGGGAACCUUCCUAGUAGUACGGAAUAACUUCGGGAAACCGAAGCUAAUACCGUAUACGCCCUCCGGGGGAAAGAUUUAUCGCUAUUAGAUGGGCCCGCGUCGGAUUAGCUAGUUGGCGGGGUAAUGGCCCACCAAGGCGACGAUCAGUAGCUGGUUUGAGAGGAUGAUCAGCCACAAUGGGACUGAGACACGGCCCAUACUCCUACGGGAGGCAGCAGUGGGGAAUCUUGCGCAAUGGGCGAAAGCCUGACGCAGCCAUGCCGCGUGAAUGAUGAAGGUCUUAGGAUUGUAAAAUUCUUUCACCGGGGACGAUAAUGACGGUACCCGGAGAAGAAGCCCCGGCUAACUUCGUGCCAGCAGCCGCAGUAACAC